UGCGUGCUGGCGGGCCGGUGGGUAGCUCGGAGGAGGCUCUGGAGGCUGGUCUGGAGCCUGGUGUUUGCUCUUUCCUCAGCCCCGUCAUUUUGCACAGGUCGUGCUGCCCGGGGACGCCCGAGGACGGACAGCCAGCCAGGAUACCUCCUCAUGGCCACCACCCCUAUGAGAUCACACCGCCGGAGCCACCCGGGGCCUUGGCACCAGAUCACAGUCUUCCUUCUCCCAAACGCCUGCAUGUCCCGGGGGGAUGUCGGCAUCCUCUGCUCCCCCGCUGCCCAGCACCCACCACCUGGGGCGCCUUCUAUCUGCUGAGCGAGCCAGACGGAUACACAGCCGCACCUAGGAAACAGACAGCAGUCCUCGCCAGCAUUCCUGAGGAAGGCCAGGGGCGAGGUCGGGCCACCUGCCCCGCAGGGAAAAUGAAGCCCCUGGGUGGGGAUGCCUGCCUUGGACAACUGGCCCCUGCUCCACAUGCACUCCUACGGUAGCCACGGCCACCAGUCCCCUUGCCCCUUUGCCGGUGGGCAGCCUGGCCUCUGGGGACCAGAGGGACGUCGGGGACCCACUCCCACAUGUUCACCUCUUUUUUCUGUAUUGCUCGUCAUUCCAGGUCCACGUCUUCCCUUUUAUUACCAGUAGUAAUAUUAACAGUUCGCUGAGCUUCAUGCUGGUAGGUCUCACUGGCAGGAUGACUUACAAAGAAUAGGCCAUAAAAUA
rnacentral:lncRNA from 1 species